rnacentral:SRP_RNA from 1 species
GCUGGGCGUAGUGACGCACGCCUGUAAUCCCAGCUACUCUGGAGGCUGAGACAGGAGAAUUGCUUGAACCCGGGAGGCGGAGGUGGCAGUGAGCCGAGAGUGAGCCGAGAUCGCACCACUGCACUCCAGCCUGGGUGACAGAGUGAGACUCCGUCUCCA